rnacentral:lncRNA from 1 species
GGUGCGGAGAAUGGGUGCAAGUGCGGUUCUGAUUGCAAGUGCAAUCCAUGCAACUGCAAGUGAGGGGCAAAGCCGGAACUUGAAGCAGAGAUGGUGAAGAAUGUUUUAGUUUAAUAGUUUGUUGUGUGUGUGUGAAUAGGGGCAAAUUAGUCAUAUCCUGUAUGGGUGAUGAAUUAAUUAUGUUCCUUGUAAUAAAGUGGGUGAUUUGGUGUGUUUUGUGUGCAUUUGGUGUUGUAACCUUCUCUGCAUUUGUCUGGAGUCUCCUAUAAUGUUAGAAGACGGUCAGGG